rnacentral:lncRNA from 1 species
GACCUGGAUGCUUCAUAUUUUGUAUAUAGAUGCCUCAUGUUACGAAGUUUCUGUCAGUCACAUGUCCAUUGUCCUUGACCUCAUUUUCAUGGUUCAGUGACCACUUGAAAAAAAAGUUCAGAUUUUUUGUAAUGUUAAAUUCUCUCUUACUGUAAGUAAUAGGAUAACUAUAUUUAGUAUGUGCGUACCUUGCAAGGUCUUCAUGCCCGUCAGAAAGUUUUCACUUGACCUCGACCUCAUUUCAUGGAUCAGUGAACAAGGUUAAGUUUUGGUGGUCAAGUCCAUAUCUCAGAUACUAUAAGCAAUAGGUCUAAUAUAUUCGGUGUAUGGAAGGACUGUUAGGUGUACAUGUCCAACUGGCAGGUGUCAUCUGACCUUGACCUCAUUUUCAUGGUUCAGUGGUUAUAGUUAAGUUUUUGUGUUUUGGUCUGUUUUUCUCAUACUUUAUACAAUAGGUUUACUAUAUUUGUUGUAUGGAAUGAUUGUAAGGUGUACAUGUCUAGCGGGC